UUGAGCCGGAGCAGGCCAUGUUUGGUAAGACUGGUCUAUCUGGGCCAUUCAAAUUUCGUAAGAUCCGGCUAUCCGGCCCAUUAAUACUAGUUUAUCAACCCCAAAUAUAAAUUCGUUGAAAACAAGAAACGUCAAGAAUUAGUUCAAAGACUCUUAAAAUGGAGAAAAAGUAGUUUACAACUUCCAGAUCAUAUGAUUAUGUAACUCAAAAUCACAAUGAUUAGCAAGCUAAUCGAAUACUCGUAUACCUCAUUACAUUUUGGUUUAAGGCAUAGAACAAAACAUGCAGAACACUCUCAAUGGCAAUAAAUACACUUGUGGCUUAAGAAUUGAAGAAUACGUGUGUUGUGUUCUGAUGAUUGUGCCUCUGGUUCAUCAUGAUGCUGUCAGCUCAAGUCUGGUUGAGGUAUUCGGCAGUUGCGUAACUCCCAAAAGCAGUGCAUAAUGGCUACUCUUGCAUGAUGUUACAACGCUUGUAAGCAACGAUGUGGCACAAGAGCCAAUUUAGUCAUGAGUUCGAUGAGUUUCAUUAAAGAUACAAAACAUUAAAUUUCGAUGAAGGCAUGUGUUUAGGCGACUAUAUAUGCUUCAUUUUCUGAUCUCUUUUCUUCUUCUCGUC
rnacentral:lncRNA from 1 species